rnacentral:rRNA from 1 species
AACGAACGCUGGCGGCGUGGAUAAGACAUGCAAGUCGAACGAGAGAAUUGCUAGCUUGCUAAUAAUUCUCUAGUGGCGCACGGGUGAGUAACACGUGAGUAACCUACCCCCGAGAGCGGGAUAGCCCUGGGAAACUGGGAUUAAUACCGCAUAGUAUCGAAAGAUUAAAGCAGCAAUGCGCUUGGGGAUGGGCUCGCGGCCUAUUAGUUAGUUGGUGAGGUAACGGCUCACCAAGGCGAUGACGGGUAGCCGGUCUGAGAGGAUGUCCGGCCACACUGGAACUGAGACACGGUCCAGACACCUACGGGUGGCAGCAGUCGAGAAUCAUUCACAAUGGGGGAAACCCUGAUGGUGUGACGCCGCGUGGGGGAAUGAAGGUCUUCGGAUUGUAAACCCCUGUCAUGUGGGAGCAAAUUAAAAAGAUAGUACCACAAGAGGAAGAGACGGCUAACACUGUGCCAGCAGCCGCGGUAAUACAGAGGUCUCAAGCGUUGUUCGGAAUCACUGGGCGUAAAGCGUGCGUAGGCUGUUUCGUAAGUCGUGUGUGAAAGGCGCGGGCUCAACCCGCGGACGGCACAUGAUACUGCGAGACUAGAGUAAUGGAGGGGGAACCGGAAUUCUCGGUGUAGCAGUGAAAUGCGUAGAUAUCGAGAGGAACACUCGUGGCGAAGGCGGGUUCCUGGACAUUAACUGACGCUGAGGCACGAAGGCCAGGGGAGCGAAAGGGAUUAGAUACCCCUGUAGUCCUGGCAGUAAACGGUGCACGCUUGGUGUGCGGGGAAUCGACCCCCUGCGUGCCGGAGCUAACGCGUUAAGCGUGCCGCCUGGGGAGUACGGUCGCAAGAUUAAAACUCAAAGAAAUUGACGGGGACCCGCACAAGCGGUGGAGUAUGUGGCUUAAUUCGAUGCAACGCGAAGAACCUUACCUGGGCUUGACAUGUAAUGAACAACAUGUGAAAGCAUGCGACUCUUCGGAGGCGUUACACAGGUGCUGCAUGGCCGUCGUCAGCUCGUGUCGUGAGAUGUUUGGUUAAGUCCAGCAACGAGCGCAACCCCUGUUGCCAGUUACCAGCACGUGAAGGUGGGGACUCUGGCGAGACUGCCCAGAUCAACUGGGAGGAAGGUGGGGACGACGUCAGGUCAGUAUGGCCCUUAUGCCCAGGGCUGCACACGUACUACAAUGCCCAGUACAGAGGGGGCCGAAGCCGCGAGGCGGAGGAAAUCCUGAAAACUGGGCCCAGUUCGGACUGUAGGCUGCAACCCGCCUACACGAAGCCGGAAUCGCUAGUAAUGGCGCAUCAGCUACGGCGCCGUGAAUACGUUCCCGGGUCU